rnacentral:rRNA from 1 species
GACGUAGGGCGCGAGCGUUGUCCGGAUUUAUUGGGCGUAAAGCGCACGUAGGCGGCUUUGCAAGUCGGAUGUGAAAUCCCUCGGCUCAACCAAGGAAGUGCAUCCGAAACUGCAGAGCUUGAGUACCAAAGAGGAUCGCGGAAUUCCCGGUGUAGAGGUGAAAUUCGUAGAUAUCGGGAGGAACACCAGUGGCGAAGGCGACUACCUGGCCUGUUCUUGACGCUGAGGCGCGAAAAGCUAGGGGAGCAAACGGGG